rnacentral:rRNA from 1 species
CCUACGGGUGGCAGCAGUGAGGAAUAUUGGUCAAUGGGCGCGAGCCUGAACCAGCCAAGCAGCGUGAAGGAUGACUGCCCUACGGGUUGUAAACUGCUUUUAUAAAGGAAUAAAGUCAGGCACGUGUGCCUGUUUGUAUGUACCUUAUGAAUAAGGAUCGGCUAACUCCGUGCCAGCAGCCGCGGUAAUACGGAGGAUCCGAGCGUUAUCCGGAUUUAUUGGGUUUAAAGGGAGCGUAGAUGGGUUGUUAAGUCAGUGGUGAAAGUUUGCGGCUCAACCGUAAAAUUGCAAUUGAUACUGGCAGUCUUGAGAAUAGUUGAGGUAGGCGGAAUGCGUGGUGUAGCGGUGAAAUGCUUAGAGAUCACGAAGAACUCCGAUUGCGAAGGCAGCUUACUAAACUGCCACUGACGUUGAUGCACGAAAGUGUGGGUAUCAAACAGGAUUAGAUACCCGAGUAGUC